GACGAACGCUGGCGGCGUGCUUAACACAUGCAAGUCGAACGAUGAACCCGGAGCUUGCUCCGGUGGAUUAGUGGCGAACGGGUGAGUAACACGUGAGUAACCUGCCCUUGACUCUGGGAUAACUGCGGGAAACUGUAGCUAAUACCGGAUACGACCCUCGGCGGCAUCGCCAGGGGGUGGAAAGAAUUUCGGUCAAGGAUGGACUCGCGGCCUAUCAGCUAGUUGGUGAGGUAACGGCUCACCAAGGCGACGACGGGUAGACGGACUGUGAGGGUGAGCGGCCACACUGGGACUGAGACACGGCCCAGACUACAACGGGAGGCAGCAGUGAGGAGUAUUGCACUGUGUGCGCAAGCCUGGUGCGGCGUCGCCGCGUGAGGGAUGACGGCCUUCGUGUUGUAAACUUCUUUCAGCACCGACGAAGUGCAAGUGACGGUAGGUGCAGAAGAAGGACCGGCCAACUACGUGCCAGCCGCCGCAGUAA
rnacentral:rRNA from 1 species